GUUCAUCUUCAGGGCGGGGUGAAAUUCCCCACCGGCGGUAUUGAGUGACAGAACUCUCAGCCCGCGAGCCUUAGGGCAUGAUUUGGUGAGAUUCCAAAGCCGACAGUAUAGUCUGGAUGGGAGAAGAUGCAA
rnacentral:ncRNA from 2 species